UCAGUGAUUAAAAGGAGCAGGCAUCAAGCACACUAAAAAGUAGCUCACGAUGCCUUGCCUAACCACACCCCUUUGGGAGACAGCUGUGAUAAAAAUUAAGCCAAAAAUGAAAGUUUGACUGGUAUGUUAAUUAGGGUUAGU
rnacentral:rRNA from 1 species